rnacentral:rRNA from 1 species
AUGAUAGGUUCAAUAAAUAAUCUUGUUGAGAUUUCAGUUAAGCUUGUUGAAACAAAAAAGGAUUGUCUUUACAAGUUAGUGUACUUGUUCCCCAAAUUGGUGUUUCUUCUACCGGUGGCCACACCUAAAGUUGGAAGGGUAAUUUCUGCGAUGAAGCUACUAAAUAACAAGUUGAGAAAUAGUAUGGGUGGUCAAUUAAAAAAAUGA